rnacentral:rRNA from 1 species
CAGCAGCCGCGGGAACACGUAGGUGGCAAGCGUUGUCCGGAAUUAUUGGGCGUAAAGGGCUCGCAGGCGGUUUCUUAAGUCUGAUGUGAAAGCCCCCGGCUCAACCGGGGACGGUCAUUGGAAACUGGGAAACUUGAGUGCAGAAGAGGAGAGUGGAAUUCCACGUGUAGCGGUAAAAUGCGUAGAGAUGUGGAGGAACACCAGUGGCGAAGGCGACUCUCUGAUCUGUAACUGACGCUGAGGAGCGAAAGCGUGGGGAGCGAACAGGAUUAGAUACCCCCGUAGUCCCUGUCUCUUAUAC